UGUGAGCUCGAUGAGUAGGGCGGGACACGUGGUAUCCUGUCUGAAUAUGGGGGGACCAUCCUCCAAGGCUAAAUACUCCUGACUGACCGAUAGUGAACCAGUACCGUGAGGGAAAGGCGAAAAGAACCCCGGCGAGGGGAGUGAAAAAGAACCUGAAACCGUGUACGUACAAGCAGUGGGAGCACGCUUAGGCGUGUGACUGCGUACCUUUUGUAUAAUGGGUCAGCGACUUAUAUUCUGUAGCAAGGUUAACCGAAUAGGGGAGCCGAAGGGAAACCGAGUCUUAACUGGGCGUUAAGUUGCAGGGUAUAGACCCGAAACCCGGUGAUCUAGCCAUGGGCAGGUUGAAGGUUGGGUAACACUAACUGGAGGACCGAACCGACUAAUGUUGAAAAAUUAGCGGAUGACUUGUGGCUGGGGGUGAAAGGCCAAUCAAACCGGGAGAUAGCUGGUUCUCCCCGAAAGCUAUUUAGGUAGCGCCUCGUGAAUUCAUCUCCGGGGGUAGAGCACUGUUUCGGCAAGGGGGUCAUCCCGACUUACCAACCCGAUGCAAACUGCGAAUACCGGAGAAUGUUAUCACGGGAGACACACGGCGGGUGCUAACGUCCGUCGUGAAGAGGGAAACAACCCAGACCGCCAGCUAAGGUCCCAAAGUCAUGGUUAAGUGGGAAACGAUGUGGGAAGGCCCAGACAGCCAGGAUGUUGGCUUAGAAGCAGCCAUCAUUUAAAGAAAGCGUAAUAGCUCACUGGUCGAGUCGGCCUGCGCGGAAGAUGUAACGGGGCUAAACCAUGCACCGAAGCUGCGGCAGCGACGCUUAUGCGUUGUUGGGUAGGGGAGCGUUCUGUAAGCCUGUGAAGGUGUGCUGUGAGGCAUGCUGGAGGUAUCAGAAGUGCGAAUGCUGACAUAAGUAACGAUAAAGCGGGUGAAAAGCCCGCUCGCCGGAAGACCAAGGGUUCCUGUCCAACGUUAAUCGGGGCAGGGUGAGUCGACCCCUAAGGCGAGGCCGAAAGGCGUAGUCGAUGGGAAACAGGUUAAUAUUCCUGUACUUGGUGUUACUGCGAAGGGGGGACGGAGAAGGCUAUGUUGGCCGGGCGACGGUUGUCCCGGUUUAAGCGUGUAGGCUGGUUUUCCAGGCAAAUCCGGAAAAUCAAGGCUGAGGCGUGAUGACGAGGCACUACGGUGCUGAAGCAACAAAUGCCCUGCUUCCAGGAAAAGCCUCUAAGCAUCAGGUAACAUCAAAUCGUACCCCAAACCGACACAGGUGGUCAGGUAGAGAAUACCAAGGCGCUUGAGAGAACUCGGGUGAAGGAACUAGGCAAAAUGGUGCCGUAACUUCGGGAGAAGGCACGCUGAUAUGUAGGUGAAGCGACUUGCUCGUGGAGCUGAAAUCAGUCGAAGAUACCAGCUGGCUGCAACUGUUUAUUAAAAACACAGCACUGUGCAAACACGAAAGUGGACGUAUACGGUGUGACGCCUGCCCGGUGCCGGAAGGUUAAUUGAUGGGGU
rnacentral:rRNA from 1 species